rnacentral:tRNA from 1 species
UGGGGUUUGGCUCAGUGGUAGAGCAUUUGCCUAGCAUGCACAAGGCCCUGGGUUCAAUCUCUGGCACUGCAA